rnacentral:misc_RNA from 1 species
ACCCAACAAGUACCAAAAAGUUGGUUGACUGUAAGUUCCAUUGAGAAACAUGCCAGUGAGCACCUUAUACAUGGCUUCAGUGAGAUGAACACCGUCGCAAGUUAUGCAUUCAGCAGGGUUUGGACAAGCUUUUGCAGAACUUGUGCCACAUGUAUAACUCAAUGUGAUAAUAUAAGGCGGACCUCCUGAUCCACAGCAUGCCUGAAAAGCCUCCUUCAAUGCAUAAGCCACUGGAUUCUUCAUAAUAGUGUGCUAGGCAUUCCAAUAAUCAAGAUAUGCAAUGGUAGCAGCAGGAAACUGCUUCAUUAGAUGUUGCAAUUUGGCUUGACAAACUGCAUUAUGGGUGCUACUUUGAUCGUUUACACUCUUGACGCAUCCUAUAUCAUCUUUGUCAUUGUUCGUACCCAUUGACAAGGCUAGUGGCAAGCAUCCUGUAGGAGGCAGACCACCUGCAUAGAUGCAAUGGCACUGCUGAUUGCAAGCUUCCGUACGGUAUCGUCAGACACAGAAGAUUUAACCAUACAAGCAUAUGCGUAAUCGUUGGCUCCAAGUUCACCAACCCAGAUCAAUGCAUCUUCAAGCAAUGCUUUGCACUGGGGGCUUGAUGACAGUGGACCUUUACACCCUUGCUUCUCUAAGAACUUAUUGAACCAAAUGAUCUGAUUUUGGAUUGACUGAAAAGGAAAGCCAACUCUAAUAUUGUUCUUAACAAAGAAUUUAGUAUAUAUGGCUGUAGAUCCAGCGACCGCAAAAUUCACCCCAUGAUCUGAUGAUUUG